rnacentral:tRNA from 2 species
GUGGCUAUAGCUCAGUUCGGUUGAGCGCCGUCUCGCCAUGGCGGAGGUCCCGGGUUCGAGACCCGGUAGCCACUCGA